rnacentral:rRNA from 1 species
UACGGGGGGGGCAAGCGUUGUUCGGAAUUACUGGGCGUAAAGGGCUUGUAGGCGGCCAACUAAGUCAGACGUGAAAUCCCUCAGCUUAACUGGGGAACUGCGUCUGAUACUGGAUGGCUUGAGUUCGGGAGAGGGAUGCGGAAUUCCAGGUGUAGCGGUGAAAUGCGUAGAUAUCUGGAGGAACACCGGUGGCGAAGGCGGCUCACUGGCUCAUUACUGACGCUCAGGCGCGAUAGCGUGGGGAUCAAACAGG